AUAGUAUUUCAUAAUUUCUGUUUUAAAAAAGAUCUCAGAUUGCCUUAUGUAUAUACAAUUUUAUUGAUGUUUCUUGUUUUGUGUUAAUGUUAUUAAUGUACCUGGUUAUUGUUAUCUGUAUAUGUAUGUACAAUGGAGGCUGGUAGUCAUAAGUUUUACGAACACCUCUAAAUUUUUUAUAUUAGAUCUUGUUGCAGGAGUGCCUGGUCUAAUGAACUAAUAACAAAUAGUGACCGCCUUGAGAAACACCUGAAUUGACGUAUAUGAUACCAGACAAGAAACCACCAAUACAUGCUGCACACCACCAAACAAUAAAGUAGAGAACCACAACACCAGCUGCCAAUGAAAACCCAGACCCACCAACUUUCCCAAUAGAAUACGAAGAUUAACCCGAUUGAACGCUUUGGAAAAAGAAAAAAGUUAUGACAUGGCAACCCGCUCGAUCCCAUUGUUGAUGCGACCGACACAAGAAACCACUACCAGUGACAGCGUCAAAAUAUCUUUACAUGAUAAAUAUUUAUUAAUAAUAGAGUAGGCU